CGGGCACGUGGUCUCAUACAUGCCCUACGGACCUACCUGUGUUCUGUACGCCGCUACCCAGGGAGGCUCAACUGUCCCAUUCUGACCAACUAGGCAGGCAUCAUCACUAUGCAAGCUGCAAUGGCUCCCCUGUUCCUCUGCUUCGUGUGUUGAUGUCUGAUACUGAACCAACUACACAACACGGACCAACUCCAGUUCUUCUUUCCAUUGCCUUGCUCAGGGGUACAGGCAGAGUAUUAACCCUAACAUUCAUGCCUUAUUGAUGUCGCAUUGGUGACUUAAUAACGGAAGAAGAUGAAGAGGAA